CCUAAACCUCCCUUACUUUGACUAAUCUGAAGACACCCUAAAACCUCUAAGAACGCCCUAAGCUCCAUCAACGACCAACCAUCUCCAGCCGUCAAUUCACCACUGCAACAGUAACCAGCCGCUGCCGAAACAACCACCCACUAAAAGACCAAAUCCUUCGCCACUCUCAUCUCUCCCCUCAUUCUCAAACACACACGCAUACACAUGAAAAUAGAGAGACGACGAGAGAACGCCUAAGGAACACGGUGGUCUCCAAUGUUCUGAAUAAUUUUUCACUUGCGAUCUUCCUUAAACCCUAAAUCUUAAAUUCCUCCAAGCUAACUAGAAGGAAAUUCACGUUGAAGAGAAUGUUCCUGCACCUUCUCCUCGAUCCAACUGUUCGUUGAGUAUUAAUCCAUUGAAGGAGACUGACGACAUCGAUGCUAUACUGCUGAGCAUGCAUAAAGAGGAAGGGAACAGUAGCAUGUGAUUUUCCUAUUUGGCUUGUUUAUGUUUAAACCAAAUUUUGUCAAAAUUCAACUACUACCAAAUAAAUGUCCACAUUUCUCCUAGAUGGUUAUCAAUAUGUGAGUCUUGAGUUUUACUCCUACUUGUCAGAAUAGGUGUUAUUCCUAAUGUCCACAUUUUAAUCCAGCGUCCAUUUUCAUAUUUUCCUUCUCGCACGUCACACAAUUUUGAGUUGGGUUCAUUUGAUUCGAGUUUUUCGGUGAAUUUCGAGGUUGUCGAAGGUCGUAAGUUGAAGUUUCCGGACAGAUAUGCGGUCCCGUUGUAGAUUUGAAGUGCUAUUGUCGGAUUGAACAAUAUUGUUGCUUACAAGGAGAUUUUUCAUCAAUUCAAUUUUGAGUACCGUUUGGGUUCCACUUGAGGUCAACUCCUUACUUUGUUCUUUAAUCUCUCAUAUGUGUGAUUUAUGAUUGCUUGAGCUUCAUGCUUUAAUUGCUAAUUUGUGAUUGACUUUCCAUGUUUUGUUUCAAGUCUGUUUGAGCUGAAAUUUUUAAGUGUAAACAUUGCUGAAUUCUUGUAGCAUUUGAUAGAAGGGUUCAGGUUUAAACGUAAAUGACAAUUUAAAUUGGAAAUGUUUUCUUACUUUUAUUUGUCGCUUAUAGCUAGUGACAUGUUUAGGCCGACCACACUCGGGUAGGCAAGCCUUAGGUUAUUUUUAUUCGAGGUAAGAGGCCGCUCCCUUUAGUUUAUAUUCAGGAGAAUACCCCAUAGAUUUUAUAUAUAGUUUUAUCCGGGGUAUGCCCCGUAGUAAAUGUAAUUGGAGGCCAUGACAGAUAUUGUGGAGGAAGCAUAGUAUAGGUUAAUAUAGGAUUUUUAACAUUUUAUUUAAACUUCUUCUCUUUUCUUUUUGCAUUUAAGUGGGGACGACCUCGAACCUCCUUUCUAUUUGUUUUUCCCUUUUUGUGUGUUUUUCCCUUAAUUAGGAUAUUCUUCAAAGCCGACUAGAUCAAGUAUGCAACCAUACUAAUUACGGAACUUAAGGAGUGCUUAACACCUUCUCCCCGAGUCAAAUAAAUCCUCUUACCCGAAUCUCUGGUGCAGACUUAGUUUUGGAGUCCGAAGUGUUUGAAAAGAAAAAAUUGUUUUAAUAACGUUGACCUGUCACACCGAAACCAAUGUCAAGUGGCGACUCUGAAAAAUCCUUUUGAACGCACAUUUUUGUCAUUUUCUAAUUGAAAACCCUUUUUGAGCUUCAUAUCUCUUUUAUUAAUUUUAAGAGGGUUUAGUGAGGUAAAAAGGGGUGUGACAAUUAUUAUGGAUCGGGCUGCACGUAGCAGCAGGUCUUAUAGACUUUAUAUUAGCGCUUGGACAGGAUCCCCCCCUACGGAGUCUGACAUACUAGCAGUGAGCGUAGGCACAGUGAUUUAUAUAGACGGGUUUUGGUGAGGGGUAUUGAUGCCAGGCAUUCGUGUAUUGCUGAGUGAUUAUGUGUGAUGAGUGGGAGUUUGAGAUAGACUGAUUGAUCACUCUGAGAGUGUGAGUACCUCGUAAUAUCACUAUGAUACUGUACUCUGGACAUGCCUAUUUGAUAUAUAGGCAUAGAGAUGUACCAUUCUGUUACACCUUAUAUUUUCGUACGUGAAAGUACGCCAUAAGUAAAUUGAUAUAAGCUCGAAAAUGAGAUGUUACAUCUCGCAUUUUCGUACGUUAAAGUUUCGUCAUAAGUUAAUCGAUGUAAGCUCGGGAAUGAUAUUAUUUUGAGGUUAUAAGUAUUAUGCUAUUUCAAACAAGUGAUAAGUAAACUCGUGAAGGUGAGAGGGUAAGCAAAUAAAAGAAAAUGAGUUUCGUCAAAAUUUGAUAUUUUGGGAUAAAAUACGGUCUGAGCUAUAAUACCCGAUAUUUAUGGACUAGUGCCAUACAAGGUACCACAUGACUAUGAUAGUAAGAGGUAUAAAGUAUGCUAAAAGUGGGCAGUAUUUUAAAUAAUUUGAGAUAAUUUUAAUUAUGUGGAUAAUUGAGUAAUUAUUGAUUAAUGGGAUAUUAGCAAGUUAAUUAAGAAAUUGGUGGAUAAAUCUUUUGGCUAAGCCCUUAACCUUAACGUGUCAGCCCACCAAUCCAACAUUGUGACUCUUAUAUUAUAAUUGAAAGGUGGCACAAUUGAGUAGAUUAUGUGACAUUAUCAUCCUAGUGGGGCCCACACCUAAAGGGUUAAAGGUAACCCUUCUAAUUCACAAAAUCAUUUGCUCUCAUCUACUAAAUGAAGAAGGAAAGCUUCAGCAAAGCUAAUAGUUUACAAAUAGCAAUGUAGUUGCUCCAAACAUUCCAUACGAAGACCAUUUAAUACUAUAGCAACAUGGGAUUUACCAUUUUAAGGGAGUACGGUGCAAUCUUUCUCAAGAAUAUCAUACGGAUUUUUCCCUACUUCGAUAUGCCGUUACAUGUUGUCUCAAUUGACGUAUGUUAGAAGAUUUUCAAGAAAAUCGGUUCAGGUAUGUUAAGGCUAUCCCUUCUUUCUUUUUGGCAUGAUCCAUACGAUACAACCGAAACGAGCAAAUGUACAACUUUCAUAAACAACUUUAUUCAUAGAAUUACUAAGGAUGACUAUGUUCUUGAUUUCCCAUGUGAAUUAUCAUUAUAUCUUCUGUUCAUGGGUAUCAGAAAAAUACGUCCUUGAUAAAGUUAUCUGAAAGGUAUAUUAAUCUUAUAACAUUCCGAGAAAAUCUUAUUAAUGUAUUUCUUAUGCAUUUCAUUCAUUUAUACAUGUACAUUGACACAUGACCAGAUGGCUUUAUAUACGCGUAUAUUAUAUGUAUAUGGGAUAUGAGAAAAGGUUAUAGCAUUAUAUACGCACCAUCACCUGAUCAGCUGGUAUAUGUUGAUAAUUUUGCCCACAGUGGUCGAGAUGAUAUAAUGGAAUACUCUCAGAGGCUUGAUGAUGUUAUGAACACCUAUACCUAUGUAUGACACGACAUUUAUAUGCACGUGCAUGAUAUUAUAAAUGUUUUAGGAUUUACAAAGCUAUUUAGACUUAAAUGCGGAAUUCUUUAUUCCAUGUUUCAUCUAUGUCUUUUAUGUACUGAUUUUCAUUCCUUACGUACUAUGUACAUUAUUUGUACUGACGUCACUUUUGCCUGGGGACGCUGCGUUUCAUGCUCGCAUGUCCUGAUAGACAGGUCGAGAGUCCUCCAAGUAGGCUAUCAGCUCAGUGGAAGAUGUUGGUGUACUCCAUUUGCUCCGGAGUUGCUUGUUUGAUCAGUGUGAUUUGGACGUGUAUUGUUGGUAUGGCAGAGCCUUGUCCCGACUUUUAUGAUAAGUAUGUACUCUUAGAGGCUUGUAGACAGAUGUCAUGUAUACGGAUACUUGUAUGGCCUUGUUGGCCUAUAUUUUAAGUAUAUAAUGGAUCACAUUGGCUUUAUUGGCCUGUAUGUCACAGGUAUGAGUUUCUAUAUCAGGUUGGGUCGUUCUAUGUCGAGUAUUCCCUCAUGUUUACUCUAGUUAUCUCAUAACGCCCCUUCAGGCCCACUUACCUGUGAUGAUGUAAUAAGAUAGAUAUAUUAUAGUUGUACUCGGUUGAGUAAGGUACCGGGUGCCUGCCGCAGCCCAUCAAUUUGGGUCGUGACACAUUCCCCAUGCUAGCUAUACUUGACAUGUUCUUAUCAGUGUUGGUCUCUAAAUGUGAACUUGGAAGCAUGUCUAAAUUUCUAUACCAUGAACGAAUUGAAUAUGGAAAUUUCUCUGUGUUAUUACUGCCAUUUUCAUUACUAUAUCCGUGUUGUAAAAAUAUUGGUUCUAACUCUAUCCUUCUGAGCUCGUCACUAUUUUCAGCUCAAGGUUAGUUCUGUUACUUAUUGAGUACACUGGGUCGGUUUUACUCAUACUACACUCUGCAUUUUGUGUGCAGAUCCAAGUACAUCUGGAUGUGGUGAUUGCUAGAUUUGGUGCUAGUACUUGCUUGGAGACCUUGAGGUAGCUGCUAUGACGCCCGCAGACCUUGGCUCUCCUUAUUUUCAUGUUAUUUAGUACGGUUCUAUUAAUCAAACAGUUGUACUAGAGUUUCAGACUAUGUAGAUACCUAGUAGCUCAUGUACUCGUUGACACCAGAUAUUGGGGUGGUUGUAGCAAAGUUUCAGUUAUUUCUAUCAUAUAUUGAUGAGAUAUUUCC
rnacentral:lncRNA from 1 species